AGUGAACGCUGGCGGUAGGCCUAACACAUGCAAGUCGAACGGCAGCACAGUAAGAGCUUGCUCUUACGGGUGGCGAGUGGCGGACGGGUGAGGAAUACAUCGGAAUCUACUUUUUCGUGGGGGGGAACGGAGGGGAAAUUACGCUAAUAACGCAUAAGGCCUACGGGGGGAAACCGGGGAUCUUCGGACCUUGCGCGGAUGGAUUAGCCGAUGUCGGAUUAGCUAGUUGGCGGGGUAAAGGCCCACCAAGGCGACGAUCCGUAGCUGGUCUGAGAGGAUGAUCAGCCACACUGGAACUGAGACACGGUCCAGACUCCUACGGGAGGCAGCAGUGGGGAAUAUUGGACAAUGGGCGCAAGCCUGAUCCAGCCAUACCGCGUGGGUGAAGAAGGCCUUCGGGUUGUAAAGCCCUUUUGUUGGGAAAGAAAAGCAGCAGGUUAAUACCCCGCUGUUCUGACGGUACCCAAAGAAUAAGCACCGGCUAACUUCGUG
rnacentral:rRNA from 1 species